UGAGCUCUUCAGUGUCAAGGACUGUG
rnacentral:piRNA from 1 species